UACGUAGGGUGCGAGCGUUAAUCGGAAUUACUGGGCGUAAAGCGUGCGCAGGCGGUUCGUUAAGUCAGAUGUGAAAGCCCCGGGCUCAACCUGGGAACUGCAUUUGAAACUGGCGGGCUUGAGUGUGGCAGAGGGGGGUGGAAUUCCACGUGUAGCAGUGAAAUGCGUAGAGAUGUGGAGGAACACCGAUGGCGAAGGCAGCCCCCUGGGUCAAAACUGACGCUCAUGCACGAAAGCGUGGGGAGCAAACAGG
rnacentral:rRNA from 1 species